UACGUAGGGUGCAAGCGUUGUCCGGAAUUAUUGGGCGUAAAGAGCUCGUAGGCGGUUUGUCGCGUCGGCUGUGAAAUCUCGGGGCUCAACCCCGAGCCUGCAGUCGAUACGGGCAGACUAGAGUGCGGUAGGGGAGACUGGAAUUCCUGGUGUAGCGGUGAAAUGCGCAGAUAUCAGGAGGAACACCGGUGGCGAAGGCGGGUCUCUGGGCCGUAACUGACGCUGGAGGAG
rnacentral:rRNA from 1 species